rnacentral:rRNA from 1 species
GGGUUGUGAGGUUAAGCGACUAAGCGUACACGGUGGAUGCCCUGGCAGUCAGAGGCGAUGAAGGGCGUGCUAAUCUGCGAUAAGCGCCGGUAAGGUGAUAUGAACCGUUAUAACCGGCGAUACCCGAAUGGGGAAACCCAGUGUGAUUCGUCACACUAUCAUUAACUGAAUCCAUAGGUUAAUGAGGCGAACCGGGGGAACUGAAACAUCUAAGUACCCCGAGGAAAAGAAAUCAACCGAGAUUCCCCCAGUAGCGGCGAGCGAACGGGGAGGAGCCCAGAGCCUGAAUCAGCAUGUGUGUUAGUGGAAGCGUCUGGAAAGGCGCGCGAUACAGGGUGACAGCCCCGUACACAAAAGCGCAUAUGCUGUGAGCUCGAUGAGUAGGGCGGGACACGUGGUAUCCUGUCUGAAUAUGGGGGGACCAUCCUCCAAGGCUAAAUACUCCUGACUGACCGAUAGUGAACCAGUACCGUGAGGGAAAGGCGAAAAGAACCCCGGCGAGGGGAGUGAAAAAGAACCUGAAACCGUGUACGUACAAGCAGUGGGAGCCCCACCACUAAGCCAGUGGUGAACUCCACAUACGCAUCCUUUGCUGAGGAGACGGUUAACGGAGCGAAAGCGACGUUCAACCUCAAAAGAAGCAGAGGGGGCUUAGUGGUGGGGUGACUGCGUACCUUUUGUAUAAUGGGUCAGCGACUUAUAUUCUGUAGCAAGGUUAACUGUAUAGGGGAGCCGGAGGGAAACCGAGUCUUAACCGGGCGUUAAGUUGCAGGGUAUAG